CUACCUCUGUCAUCCUUCAUCCACCCGCAUCGUCAACGCCUCUCUAUCCUCUCCCAGUCUCCCUCCCUCUACACACCACAGAUCCGUUCCUCGCUGCCACCGCUUGAAUUCCGGACACAUGCCCCGCGCAUGGAGGCGGCCAUGUCGAGACCCUUCACCUGGCUGCGACGUCCUCCACGAGAUUCGUGAACACCGCAGCGUCUCCUCGCACCGAUUACUCCUACGUGGGUUUCGUGGCCGCCGCCUCCAUGCGCCUCAAGCUCUGCGACGAGACCGGAUCCAGGGUCGUGAGCGACCACGAUGCUGCGUUCGUCGCCGACCACGAUGUUGCGGACCCGGUGGCUAUGCUGGAGUACAGGGAGCACCUGCUGUGGGAGGCGUGGAUCCAGAGGCGUGGAUCCAGAUCGAGAUGGCCACCGUGUUGAGGGCAUCGCUCGCGGCGCAUCCCAGGUUCGUCGACCAGUACCUCGAGUCAACUAGCAGCGUCAGCUGGGGCAAGGACCACCUCCCGCCCGACCUGCGUGCGGAGCAGGAGAUUAGCCAAUUGUAGUUUGAAUCGGACCAGGUUGCCGUCAUCGGUGUGGCUGCAGAGUGGAGGAUCUAAACCAUGAUGGACUGGUGCCACAGCGGUUGACCUCCUUGACAGCUGUUCGAGUUCUUGGGCGUCACUACUUGCCAUAAUACGCGGGAAAGUAACCCAUUUCCUAUAAUUUUCUGCUGUAUUCUCAAGUCCUUUGUACACAUGUUUCUACAUGAUACCUAUGGCCAACCGAAUCAGUUUUUUGUUUCUGACGUAGAUGCUUUUGAUCUAAUAUCUUGUUUCUUCUAAUUUGUUACACACCAUAGGUAUGAGGACUAAAUUCUAAAUUCCAUGCACCAAUUUUUCUAAUUUUGUCAAAAUCAUGUAUGAUAGAGUUUAUAAUCUUUUCUUGGUUAGAUCUGGUAGUUCCGUAUUAUUCACACUUCUCAAUUUCCAGCAAAUAUCUGAGGCUAACUUUUUUUCCCCUCUUACUGCAGGUUAGUUCGAACAAUGGGUUACACUGUUGUUUUUUCUGAUAGUGCUCCUACAUGGAUACUUCAAGAUUGCUGCAAUUCUCAGAAACACUGGAGAAGGGCCUAGAGAAAAUGAUGGACUUAAAAAAUAGAUUUGGUGGCAUGAUAACUCAGAACAUAAGGAGUUGAUGGGCAUGGUGUGAUCAGCGACACAAAGAGGAAUAUGCAUGCCAAUGCUUCCCUUGGUUAGCAUACAUUGAAUUUCCAGUUCUUUUCACUUUCAUAUUUAUCUGUUGUUUUGGUGGUACACUGCAAUAUGUAUCUAACUUCUUUGAAUUUUCGGCUUUGAGCUGCCUCAUGUUAUUUCACUGUAUUUCCGCACACUUAGAUGUAAUAUAGUUUUACUGGAUCUAAAUAAGAAAGUAAUUGUUCUAAUGAGGGAGAAACAUUUUUUUAUAGCAGCUGAACGUGCAUGAGCACAUCAGCCAAUCACCUGACAUCAUCAACUUACUCCACAAAUACAUUCAAAAUUUGAAGCUGAGAUUGUGUCCCGUGUGGCAGAGAAAUGGAGAAAAAUAAUAGGGGUACAAUGUGACACGGGAUUUACUUAAAUGUGGUAAAAUGUAACAUAACUUCUUAAAUGUUGUAAAGUAGGGUCACAAGUAACUUCGUAUGCGGUAAAGUAUAUCAUGUAAAUUUGAUCAUCAUGCAAUAUGUUGCCGUACUCAGAAAUAAGAUGUGAUUGUUUAAAGGAUUUAUUUUGGAUUUCUAUUGCUUUACAAACGUAUUGUAACAAUAUGAUAGAUUUAGUGAUGGUGUUUGUCUUUAAAAAAAAGCACCAACCUGGAAACAUAUAAUUGUGUCUGUUUUGUUAUGCUUUAUCCAUGAUUGAGUUAAUAUACUUGUAAAAAGACACGGGUGCAUUCUUUAUUGCCAUUUUCUAGCAAAUAAACUAUCCUGAAUAUUUUGUCAAAAAUAUGCACAUGUGAUUAAGGUAUAUGCCUGCAAAUUAUGUGGGUACUUUACAUGUAAAGUGCAAUGUGUAUGUAAGAGGUAUUUGCUGGAAACAAAAAUUGUGUGUAUAUCGAGAUAUUUUAUGCACAAAAAGUUUAAGAAAAAGAGUAAAUGUUUUGUGGCUUGUGCAAAUAAGAUGUUUUUAUGCUCUAAUAUGGCUAUUCACAAGAUUUUUGUUUUACCUUUUUUACACACGCUACAAAAAUCUUCUUUUGUGGGAAACUUUAUGUGCAAUGUUUAGAUUUUGAAAUGUGUUUUUUUAUGUUUUUUUAUACUGGAUGCUUCUACAACUAGGAGUAAGAGACCUCCAGUGAUAAAAUUUGUAUUCACAAGAGGUGAUAUGUACUCUCUUAUUUAGUGUAAAUAACUUAAAUAUUUAUGCUCCGGUUGCGAUGUAUAGUGUACAUAUUUAUUGCUACUUUUACUAGGUGGAUCAAGAUAAUGCAAGUGGUUGAGUAUCGCCGCGGCGCCGAAGAUGGAGGUAGACUUGAGAGAUAGAAGAAUGUGUUAAAGGUGGUAUAAACAUUUUCAAAGUUUCCCUUGAGAUCAAAAAAUGUACAUGGCGAAGCGAUCGGGGUCAAAAGCCAUGGCCUCUCCCUGGUUGCUGCCGUCACAUCUGUCUGUCUUCAAACCCAAUACAUCCAUGCAAGUAUUAGUUAACAACAUAUGUUCGCACGGGUGCAGCGAGAGCGGAGGUCGAGCCAUGGACGCGGUGGUGGAGAUCUUGGCGAGAUUGCACCUCUCGCCCUGGCCGCCUUCGUCGACUUGCCGUGGUCCAGCGCCGCCACAAGGUGCUCCUCCCUUACGGGGUUGUCAUGAUCCAUUAUAUGCAACUGUGGAGUGGCCCAGGUGGAGUGGAUUUGGAUUCUACAUUAGUGGUACUAGGGAUCUGAGGAUUGAAGAAGAUGAAUCUUCUUGAGAUUGAAGUAUAUCACCUUUUCUAGAUAUAUCUAUAUUAGCAUCAAGUAAUAUGAAUUAGAGGGAAUAUCAAUUUAGUGCAAAUUCAUGCUUAAUGGAGAAUUUUAUUUCAGUGAAGUUAUUCAUGCUUAAUCAGUUUCAUACUUGAGAGGAGAUGCUCUCAAGUAUAUAUAUAUAUUUAUAUAUAUUUAUUGGAGACUCAAA